rnacentral:rRNA from 1 species
CAAAGGAAGCGAUUCCGGCGGGGGAUGGACAUGCGGCGCAUUAGCUAGUCGGCGGGGUAACGGCCCACCGAGGCGACGAUGCGUAGGGGUUCUGAGAGGAAGGUCCCCCACACUGGUACUGAGACACGGACCAGACUCCUACGGGAGGCAGCAGUGAGGAAUAUUGGUCAAUGGGCGGGAGCCUGAACCAGCCAAGUCGCGUGAGGGAAGACGGUCCUAUGGAUUGUAAACCUCUUUUGCCGGGGAGCAACGGGGUCCUUGCGAGGGCCUAAUGAGAGUACCCGGAGAAAAAGCAUCGGCUAACUCCGUGCCAGCAGCCGCGGUAAUACGGAGGAUGCGAGCGUUAUCCGGAUUUAUUGGGUUUAAAGGGUGCGUAGGCGGGCUGUUAAGUCAGCGGUCAAAUGUCGGGGCUCAACCCCGGCCUGCCGUUGAAACUGGUGGCCUCGAGUGGGCGAGAAGUAUGCGGAAUGCGUGGUGUAGCGGUGAAAUGCAUAGAUAUCACGCAGAACUCCGAUUGCGAAGGCAGCAUACCGGCGCCCGACUGACGCUGAGGCACGAAAGCGUGGGUAUCGAACAGGAUUAGAUACCCUGGUAGUCCACGCAGUAAACGAUGAAUGCUAGCUGUCCGGGGCUUCGGCUCUGG